AUUGCAUGUAAUAGAUAAGGAAUCAAGCUUCAGUUAUUUUGACUUGCCCAAAAUUGAUUUGGUAAGUGACAGAACUUUAUUUGCUGAUAGUCCACAAUUAAAACUUUUCAUUAUUCAGGUAGAAUUCUUUUCCCUUUUAUUCUAUACAUGUUGAUAUGCUUGUUAUAAAGAAGCCUAGGCCUGUGAUCUCGAUACCCGUGGAGCUCUGCAGCUGCAGCAGAUAGUAGAAUGUAUGGGAAUUCACCCAAAUGCACCUACAGUAGAAGUAUUAUUCAUUAUUUCAGAGAUGCUUUUUCCUCUGUGUCUGGUUAUAGAUCAGUUGGCAUGGCAUCAAGCAGGUUGAUGUUCCUCUUAUCCCAAGCCCCAAGCCUUACUUUUUCUUUUUUUUGUUUUUGUUUUUUUGAGACAGUCUCACACUGUCGCCCAGGCUGGACUGCAGUGGCACGAUCUCUGCUCACUGCACCCUCUGACUGCUGGAUUCAAGUGAUUCUCCUCCUCAGCCUCCCAAGUAACUGGGACCACAGGUGCUUGCCACCACACCCAGCUAAUUUUUUUGUAUUUUUAGUGGAGACAGGGUCUUGCCAUGUUGCCCAGGCUGGUCUUGAACUCCUGGCCUCAAGCCAUCGUCUCACCUCGGCCUCCCAAAGUGCUGGGAUUACAGGCAUGAGCCACCACGCCCAGCCAUUCCAGCCCUUUUUACUUUUACCAAGUGGUUACCACAACAACUUUGAUGAGCUGUUAUUCAAAGGAAUCCUGUGAUGAGCAAUUUUGAAAAGAAAAAUGAUCUCUGUAUUAUAUAUUUGGAAUUUUGAAUAGGAAGUAGGUUAAACAUGUGUUUAACACUUAACACAUCCCAGGGGCCUCUCAAUUGUGGCACAGUGUGACCCCUACAUGCUGUAUGUGUAUGAAGCACAGCAGAAGCACAGAGGCAAAACACACCUCAGUCGGCUUCCCUUGAGUUCCCUUUUAAAGAGUCUUUUCUAUAUUUCUGGAUCAUUCCUUUCUUUUUUAUGUUUUUUUUGGUUUUGUUUUGUUUUGAGACAGGGUCUUGCUCUGUCACCCAGGUUGGAGUGCAGUGGUGCAAUGACUCACUGCAACCUCUGCCUCCUGGACUCAAGCAAUCCACCCACCUUGGCCUCCCCGAGUGCUGGGAUUACAGGAGUGAGCCACCAUGCCCAGCUUUUUAAUUUUUUUUUUUUGAAACCUAUUACAGUAACUCCCUGAGAUGAAGAUGAGACGUUUAGCUUCCUCACACUCCCUCCUCCUCCUCCUUCCCCAUGCACCUCCCAUGCUUUGUUCAAUGUUACUCUCCUUUUACUUGCUUAAGGUACUCUUUCUUAUGCCAUUGACUUUAGACGGAAUUCCUUGGCUUUACUGAGUAAGAUGGGGAAAUUAGAAAUCUGCAGUCCCCAAUGUUAACACUCACUCAUUUUGUUAGCUAUGACUAUUUCAUUGUCAAGCGGUUGGUUGGUUGGUUAGUUGGUUGGUUGGUUUGUUUUGUUUUGGUUUCACCAUUCAUACACAGUCUGUCCACUAAUUAUAAUUUUUUGUGCUUUAUGUGUGGGUAGAUUCUAAAAAGUCAGAAACCAAUAAACCUGUAUUAUGAUUAUAUAGUAUAUUAUUCACAUUAGUUCCUAGAAGUGUGGUUGACUCAUUAAAAAUGUAAUCCUAUAUUACAAAAUUCAUACAACUAAAGUGUCAAAGGAAAUUAAUGUUCUCUGUUUCCCCCCUCAAUAGCUCAGGAUCAUGCCACAUUUAAGCUUCAUAUUUUGAUCAUGUUUUUAUUUUCAGUUUCAUCCUGAAACUUUUAUUUCCAGUUUUAUGAAAGUAGUACAUGUUCACACUUUUAAAACUGAAAUAGUUCCACAUGGCUUAAAAUGCAAAACACGCUUCCCUUUCACUACCCUUUGGUGCUUCCUAAAAGCCACCAUUCUCAACUCUUUUAGCUCUUCCCUUAGCUAUUGAUUUUUGUAUUUGUUAAAAACAUGCUCUUACUGCUGUUUGUUGUUUUUCAGUUUGAGAUAUUAUAUUAUGAUUAUUAUUAUUAAUAUUAGAGACAGGGUCUUGCUCUGUUGCCCAGGCUGGAGUGCAGUGGUGCAAUCUCAGCUCACUGCAACCUCUGCCUCCCCGGCUCAAGCAAUUCUCCCACCUCAGCCUCCUGAGUAGCUGGGACCACAGGUGUGCAUCACCACGACCGUUUUUUGUUUUGUUUUGUUUUGUUUUUAAGGACACAGGGUUUCACCACGUUGCCCAGACUGGUCUCCAUCUCCUGGACUCAAGCGAUCCACCCACCUCAGCCUCCCAAAGUGCUGGGAUUACAAGCGUUGAGUCACCGCGCCUGGCCAGAGAUAAUAUCUUAUUGACCUCCUCUAUAUGGGAUGCUGUGCCCGGCCACACCUCACAUACACACAUUGCACUCACACAUGUGCUUCUCCUCCCCAGUUCCUUCAGCAUGUUUAUGCCAGUUUUUGUUGAAUCAGUAGUAAGUGUUCAUAUUAUGUUAACUCUGUAAUUGUUCUUUACACCUGAGCUGUGUAGUUUCUAUGUACAUGUCACUUAUUCAUCUCCAAAUUCUCCAACCAAAUUGAAAAUCUCAGAACAUAAUGAAAGAUGUAGGCCCUCCUUCGGAUUGCAUUGUUUUUUGGAGCCAUCCCUGCCCCUGCUCCCAGGUAGUCUGGCUGCUCUGCAGGCCUGCUGCAAGCUGUCAGGCUUACAUUGCCCUUCGUCUGCACUCUGGGGAUCCUCAUUUCUCUCCCAGGUUGUGUUCCUUAUUACCUGGACCCUCUUGCUUGGUUUACACUCCUGUUUAGAUAGAGCACCUCCUCCUGUACCUUCACAGAAAAAGCACAGAGAAUGGAAAACUCAUAUCUUGCAUGUCUGAAAAAAUCCUUAUUCUGCCUUACAUUUGAAUAAUAAUUUUAUAGGAUAUAGAAUUUUAGUUUGGAAAACAUUUUCCUUCCGAAUUUUAAAGGCAUUGCUCUGUUGUCUUCUAGUUUCAAAUGUUGCUUUACAUAAAUAUUCUGAUGCAAUUCUAAUUACUGAUUAUUUGCACAUGACCUACUUUUUUCUCUCUGGAAUAUUUUAGAUUCUUGGGUAUCUGAUAAUCUGGAAUUUCAUGGUAAGAUGCCUUGUUGUGAACCUUUUUUUAUUUUUUAUUUUUAUUUUUUGAGAUAAGUUCUUGCUCUGUCACCUAGGCUGGAGUGCAGUGAUGUAAUCACAGCUUGCUGCAGUCUUGACCUCUUGGGCUCAAGUGAUCCUUCUGCCUCAGCCUCCCAAGUAGCUGAGACCGCAAGCACGCACCACCACACACAGCUGAUUUUUUAAACUUUUGGUCCAUUCCAAGAUGGCCGAAUAAGAACAGCUCUGGUCUGCAGCUCCCAGCGUGAUUGACGCAGAAGACGGGUGAUUUCCGCAUUUCCAACUGAGCGAGAAGGCAUCCAUCUCCAAACCAAGGAGAGGGCCCUCACCGGACAUCAGAUCUACUGGUACCUUAAUCUUGGACUUUCCAGCCUCCAGAGCUGUGAGAAAUAAAUGUUUGUUUUUUAAACC
ensembl:lncRNA novel transcript